rnacentral:rRNA from 1 species
AACGAACGCUGGCGGCAUGCCUAACACAUGCAAGUCGAACGAGACCUUCGGGUCGAGUGGCGCACGGGUGCGUAACGCGUGGGAACCUGCCCUUAGGUUCGGAAUAACUCCCCGAAAGGGGUGCUAAUACCGGAUAAUGUCUUCGGACCAAAGAUUUAUCGCCUUUGGAUGGGCCCGCGUUGGAUUAGCUAGUUGGUAGGGUAAAAGCCUACCAAGGCGACGAUCCAUAGCUGGUCUGAGAGGAUGAUCAGCCACACUGGGACUGAGACACGGCCCAGACUCCUACGGGAGGCAGCAGUGGGGAAUAUUGGACAAUGGGCGAAAGCCUGAUCCAGCAAUGCCGCGUGAGUGAUGAAGGACUUAGGGUUGUAAAGCUCUUUUACCCGGGAUGAUAAUGACAGUACCGGGAGAAUAAGCUCCGGCUAACUCCGUG